CGAUCUAUUGUUGGCUCCUGUAUUUGUGCUGUAUGUUGUACACCGAGCACCAGUUAGUGCUCGGUGAUUGGUUUCUGAAAUGUAAGUUGUGUAGGAUGUAUAGCUUCUUUUUUCCCUUAAACGUGUAGGGCUCUUGUAAAAGCACUUAGGGGCACUAAGAGUCAGAUAUUUUAACCUCAAUGUGGCUGGUUGCAAGCUUGCAUUUUUGUAGGUUCAGUUGCCAGAAAGUCUGGCAUUUAUUAUAAUAGGUUGGGGUAGUCAUGAUACUAAAUUAGUUCACGCUUUGUCCCUUGGAUUGUUUGGAUAAACUUCCUUCUUCCAGUGGCGACUUCCUCGGAGAGUUGGCCACCACUUUACAGACUGAUCCAGCUGGUUCUCCCCCUUCUUCCGAGGCAGGAAUUUCGACGGUUGCGCCAGAACAGGAGCCUUUCUUGCGGUGACCUCCUCACAUCGGUCGUCGCCUCCAGAUGCUUCCCCUGUUACGGAUUUCUUCUCUGUCCUUUCCAGGAAAGGAGUGUCCUCCGGAGCAGCGUUCACAUUGGAUCUCCGGCUCAGGUGGAACACGUACUGGGCGAGUCCUAACCGUAGGACGAAUUUGUGUUGAGCCAGCGAUGUCGCUCUGCCUUUGAGAUCUUUCCAUAAGACGGGGGUCUGCAAAGCAGAUCAUUUUUCGACCUUGAACUGUGAAAUAUCCGCCAUCGUGAUCAAGCCCACCGAAAAAGCUUAACCAGCAAAUUCAAUGCGCGACCCAAAACAAAUCUCUGAGACCGACUCCAACCUCAAAAUUCCACCGCAAAUUGCUCAACUAACUUUUGACUCUCUAGUCCCUCUAUGACAUUUUUUUUUUCAAGUUUUAGAUUCGAUUCAUUAUUUUUCCCUUGAUUUCCUUCGUUCGCUAUUCGCUCGAAGACUCGAUCUUGGCCAAUCUCCCGCGCAUUAUCCAGGGAAUCUAGAAAUCCGUGGACUAGACAAUCGACUUGUACAGAGUUUGCAUCGUGAUACUAUAACAGAAUGAAUGUCUUGCAGUUUUAGGCCUUCUUUUUCUGCAAAACUGUAACGUGUCACUUUUUUCUGUCAUUGCUGGGGAUAACCAUGCAACUCUAGGACCACAAAUAUAAAUUCUGACAACCUUUCGUUUGACUACUUUAGGUUUCGGCCAAGAUUUUAGUGCUUAGAAUGAUACUGAAUGAUGGUUUUUAAGAAAAAAUCAAACUGGAAAAAAAUUCAUUUUUCUUUGAUAUCCUUUUGUUUCAAAGGGACCACUAGUGUGAAGAAAAUUAUAAUACUCCUUUUUCUUUAGCGGUGGGUAAUGUUGUUGGGUCGAAUCGAACACACUUUUGUGCAUUCGACCAUGAACGCAGAGGCUUUCUAAUCUAAACCGUUUCCAGCCAAACCAGAGAAGAACCAAAACCCAAUUACAGACCAUUGUGUGGGUUAUGGACCAACGCAUUGCACCCAUAGCCCAAGAGCACAGCCGACGAAGAGAUAGUUUCGGGCAACGCCGCCAAAUCAUUGAUUUUGGGUUGCUUUCGUCCAACAUGUGAGAACUACUACAAAAUGGACUAAUGAUAAAAACCAAAGCACAUUAUCCCUGAUAAGAACAGUCUUACUCUUGCGUCUGCCUACAUUUCUAAAAUGGAAAAAAACUUGAACCUGAACCCACACAUGGUAUGGUUCUGAUAUCAAAUUUGAAGGUUGAUCUAUCUUUUUAAAUGCUUGCACUUGCUCCAAUUUGUGAUGAAAGUAAUUUUGGUUUUAAGAGCUCAAAAGACAAGCUGACUAAUGAAUUAUUAGAUUACAAUCAUUUACUUGUUUUCAUUCAAUUUUUCAAAAAGUUAAAUAUUGCCUUAAGGUCAAGUGCCUCCAAUUGUGUCUUCUGUCCACCCAGUUACUUCAAAUCCUACAUGCCAAUAAUGAUCUGAGAAAUGCCCGAGUCAUUAUCACCGUCCAGUUUUUACAUUUGAUAUCAAGUUGAUUAUUUGUCUGUGGCGUCAGAAUAAACAAUAAUAAGAAGAAAGGUAAAGAAUUUUGCAAGGAAUCAGCACCUGCCACUAUUACACCACAGUUAGUUAAUUUCUACAGUGGAAGACACUUCUGGGAUUUUUCCUCAUCUGUUAGAUCACUUGCUGACACUGCGUUUGACGAAAAAGUGUAGACACAUUUUUGGGGGCACUAUCUCUGCCAAAAUGUGCAUAAGUGUACCUCAAAUGAUAAAACGUUUGGCUGAGUGUGAAUUUCGCCAUUCUAUUCAAUGCUCUCAACACAAGGACCAGAAAUGUCUAAAUCAAUCUCUGUACGUCAAUGCUACUUUUAGCUUCUGUAUUCUUUACAGAUGUUCAUGACGCGUGUGGACAGUUCGUUAGUAGAAAGUUGGACAUUAGCUUUCACAAUACAACUCCCCAUUUUGAGUGAGGUCUAUACAAGGCACUCUUUAAGUGUUCCAGUCGCGCUUUAUUCAUUCAUAUAUACAUACUGUUGUAUUUAAAUUAAUCUUUUAUCCGUUGGAGUGAGUCACAAUAUGCACAAUAUAUAGAGUCAUUGCUUAUUUCACUCAUUUCAAGAUUGAUCUUGAAUCGCCAAUCCGGGAAGUAAACCCGUCUGUUGUCAUGGUGCUGCACUCUAUGUAGUAUUUGGAACGAGAAAGCCCAGAGUUAUUUUUCGUCUAUUUCUAUUGGAUAAUCAUGCCUUUUCGAGGAUUGAAUCGCCAAAAUGAAAACGAACAAGGAUAUGGCAGUUCAUCACGACGAGAUACACCAACGCCUACGCUUCCAUCUCCUCCCUUGUCAUUACCAAUCCGUUUGGAACCUGAACAAGAUCCCACAAAUUACAACUUCGUUCCUUGUCUCUCAUUCUGCUGCUUCGUAUAUGAUCAUCGAAAGGGCGUGGCGAUAUAUGCUGGGUUUAGUCUUGCUAUCCUCCUGGGCCUGCUCUCGUUCAACGUGUUUGCCAUUGUCAGUCCAAUCACCGAUCUGUUGGCCUUCGUCAGCUUAGAGUAUGAGUAUAUUAAUCUGGCAAUGAUCAUUUUGUCCUUGAUUGUCAACGCAUUUUUACUGUGGGCAGUGCUCUUGAGAUUAAGGUACGCAAUGCUACCCUGGCUGGUGGUGACUUUUAUUCAAAUUAUGUUUUAUUCGGGAUUGGAUGUAUAUCAUAUGAUAAUCCUGUUUUCGGACUGGAACAAUGCCACCCUCCUAAAGUUUGGUCUUCUCUCUUUAAUAUGUGUGCAUCUUAUCUACUUUUGGUCUGUGGUUUGGUCCUUGUAUAUGAGAUUGGGAGAUCCAACUGAGCGCAUAAACCGAUUGCAACCAAGCAAAUCAACCCUCACAGAAGAACACUUCAUGGAAAUUGAUGUAAAAAAGCAAAACGAUUUUAAUAUAUUCGAGAGGUUUCACUUGAUGCAACGGA